GACGAACGCUGGCGGCGUGCUUAACACAUGCAAGUCGAACGGAAAGGCCCUGCUUUUGUGGGGUGCUCGAGUGGCGAACGGGUGAGUAACACGUGAGUAACCUGCCCUUGACUUUGGGAUAACUUCAGGAAACUGGGGCUAAUACCGGAUAGGAGCUCCUGCUGCAUGGUGGGGGUUGGAAAGUUUCGGCGGUUGGGGAUGGACUCGCGGCUUAUCAGCUUGUUGGUGGGGUAGUGGCUUACCAAGGCUUUGACGGGUAGCCGGCCUGAGAGGGUGACCGGCGAAGCUGGGAGGGAGAUACGGCCCAGGCUCCUACGGGAGUCAGGGGUGGGGAAGAUGGGACAAGGGGCGGACGCGUGAUGCAGCAACGCCGAGGGCGGGAGGGAGGCCUUCGGGGUGGAAACCACUUUGGCCUGGGACGAGGCGGGAGUGGCGGUAGUGGGGAAAGAAGCACCGACGAGCGACGUG
rnacentral:rRNA from 1 species